AUUUUGCUGCAGCUGUGUUUGAUGCAGCGAUUGUCAUGUGAGGGAUUACUGGUGGAUUUAAUUGAUGUGCAGAUUGAUGUAAAUCGGUCUUGCCUUUGACAAAUUGGCGAUUUGUCUUUGAUGCACAAUGUUGCUUUGGUGUAAAAAAACAAACAAAACAGCAGCAUAUUUUUUAUUGUUGAAUGUGUGUAAAAUUUUUAACCCAAAAUGUAUGGUGUGAGUUAACUUUUGAAGCAAAUGUAUUGGCAUGCGUAGACCGUUACCUGCACUUAAACAUCGAUUUGUAUGAUUGAGGCAGUGUACAAACAAUAUUGGGUGGUGAUGCUACUUGAAGCCCAAUGCUUUCAGACGUCUGUGUCAGCUGCCCACAAAACCCAGAGCUGGCUGCGUGCUUCCCUAUACAGGACCGAGGGCCAGACCCGAACGGCUGGAAGAACCGACUGGGAACCUGUGAGCAACACAGAUUGAUACAAUUCACAAGCAGGCUUUACAGUACGAGUAUAAGCUGUUGGGUAAUAAUACACCUCAAAGGUGUUGUGAGAAGGCACAA